GACGAACGCUGGCGGCGUGCCUAAUACAUGCAAGUAGAACGCUGAAGGAGGAGCUUGCUUCUCUGGAUGAGUUGCGAACGGGUGAGUAACGCGUAGGUAACCUGCCUGGUAGCGGGGGAUAACUAUUGGAAACGAUAGCUAAUACCGCAUAAUAGCAGUUAUUGCAUGAUAACUGUUUGAAAGGUGCAAUUGCACCACUACCAGAUGGACCUGCGUUGUAUUAGCUAGUUGGUGGGGUAACGGCUCACCAAGGCGACGAUACAUAGCCGACCUGAGAGGGUGAUCGGCCACACUGGGACUGAGACACGGCCCAGACUCCUACGGGAGGCAGCAGUAGGGAAUCUUCGGCAAUGGACGGAAGUCUGACCGAGCAACGCCGCGUGAGUGAAGAAGGUGUUCGGAUCGUAAAGCUCUGUUGUAAGAGAAGAACGAGUGUGAGAGUGGAAAGUUCACACUGUGACGGUAUCUUACCAGAAAGGGACGGCUAACUACGUG
rnacentral:rRNA from 1 species